UACGAAGGGGGCGAGUGUUGUUCGGAUUUACUGGGCGUAAAGGGCGUGUAGGCGGAUCGAAUAGUCAGAGGUGAAAGCCCAGGGCUCAACCCUGGAACUGCCUUUGAUACUUUCGGUCUAGAGUAUGUGAGAGGGUGGUGGAAUAUCCUGUGUAGAGGUGGAAUUCAUAGAUAUAGGAUGGAACACCAGUGGCGAAGGCGGCCACCUGGCGCAUAACUGACGCUAAAGCGCGAAAGCGUGGGUAGCAAACAGG
rnacentral:rRNA from 1 species